ACGCUGGCGGCGUGCCUAAUACAUGCAAGUAGAACGCUGAAGGAGGAGCUUGCUUCUCCGGAUGAGUUGCGAACGGGUGAGUAACGCGUAGGUAACCUGCCUGGUAGCGGGGGAUAACUAUUGGAAACGAUAGCUAAUACCGCAUAAGAGUAGAUGUUGCAUGACAUUUGCUUAAAAGGUGCAAUUGCAUCACUACCAGAUGGACCUGCGUUGUAUUAGCUAGUUGGUGGGGUAACGGCUCACCAAGGCGACGAUACAUAGCCGACCUGAGAGGGUGAUCGGCCACACUGGGACUGACACACGGCCCACACUCCUACGGGAGGCAGCAGUAGGGAAUCUUCGGCAAUGGACGGAAGUCUGACCGAGCAACGCCGCGUGAGUGAAGAAGGUUUUCGGAUCGUAAAGCUCUGUUGUAAGAGAAGAACGAGUGUGAGAGUGGAAAGUUCACACUGUGACGGUAUCUUACCAGAAAGGGACGGCUAACUACGUGCCAGCAGCCGCGGUAAUACGUAGGUCCCGAGCGUUGUCCGGAUUUAUUGGGCGUAAAGCGAGCGCAGGCGGUUAGAUAAGUCUGAAGUUAAAGGCUGUGGCUUAACCAUAGUACGCUUUGGAAACUGUUUAACUUGAGUGCAAGAGGGGAGAGUGGAAUUCCAUGUGUAGCGGUGAAAUGCGUAGAUAUAUGGAGGAACACCGGUGGCGAAAGCGGCUCUCUGGCUUGUAACUGACGCUGAGGCUCGAAAGCGUGGGGAGCAAACAGGAUUAGAUACCCUGGUAGUCCACGCCGUAAACGAUGAGUGCUAGGUGUUAGACCCUUUCCGGGGUUUAGUGCCGCAGCUAACGCAUUAAGCACUCCGCCUGGGGAGUACGACCGCAAGGUUGAAACUCAAAGGAAUUGACGGGGGCCCGCACAAGCGGUG
rnacentral:rRNA from 1 species